rnacentral:rRNA from 1 species
GAAAGGGCGCACGGUGAAUGCCUUGGCACUAGGAGCCGAUGAAGGACGGGACGAACACCGAUAUGCUUCGGGGAGCUGUAAGCAAGCUUUGAUCCGGAGAUUUCCGAAUGGGGAAACCCACCACUCGUAAUGGAGUGGUAUCCAUAUCUGAAUACAUAGGAUAUGAGAAGGCAGACCCGGGGAACUGAAACAUCUAAGUACCCGGAGGAAGAGAAAGCAAAUGCGAUUCCCUGAGUAGCGGCGAGCGAAACGGGACCAGCCCAAACCAAGAGGCUUGCCUCUUGGGGUUGUAGGACACUCUGUACGGAGUUACAAAGGAACGAGGUAGAUGAAGAGGUCUGGAAAGGCCCGCCAUAGGAGGUAACAGCCCUGUAGUCAAAACUUCGUUCUCUCCUGAGUGGAUCCUGAGUACGGCGGAACACGUGAAAUUCCGUCGGAAUCCGGGAGGACCAUCUCCCAAGGCUAAAUACUCCCUAGUGACCGAUAGUGAACCAGUACCGUGAGGGAAAGGUGAAAAGCACCCCGGAAGGGGAGUGAAAGAGAUCCUGAAACCGUGUGCCUACAAGUAGUCAGAGCCCGUUAACGGGUGAUGGCGUGCCUUUUGUAGAAUGAACCGGCGAGUUACGAUCCCGUGCAAGGUUAAGCAGAAGAUGCGGAGCCGCAGCGAAAGCGAGUCUGAAUAGGGCGAAUUGAGUACGUGGUCGUAGACCCGAAACCAGGUGAUCUACCCAUGUCCAGGGUGAAGUUCAGGUAACACUGAAUGGAGGCCCGAACCCACGCACGUUGAAAAGUGCGGGGAUGAGGUGUGGGUAGGGGUGAAAUGCCAAUCGAACCUGGAGAUAGCUGGUUCUCUCCGAAAUAGCUUUAGGGCUAGCCUCAAGGUAAGAGUCUCGGAGGUAGAGCACUGAUUGGACUAGGGGCCCCUACCGGGUUACCGAAUUCAGUCAAACUCCGAAUGCCGAUGACUUAUCCUUGGGAGUCAGACUGCGAGUGAUAAGAUCCGUAGUCGAAAGGGAAACAGCCCAGACCGCCAGCUAAGGUCCCAAAGUAUACGUUAAGUGGAAAAGGAUGUGGAGUUGCUUAGACAACCAGGAUGUUGGCUUAGAAGCAGCCACCAUUUAAAGAGUGCGUAAUAGCUCACUGGUCGAGUGACUCUGCGCCGAAAAUGUACCGGGGCUAAACGUAUCACCGAAGCUGCGGACUGUUCUUCGAACAGUGGUAGGAGAGCGUUCUAAGGGCUGUGAAGCAAGACCGGAAGGACUUGUGGAGCGCUUAGAAGUGAGAAUGCCGGUAUGAGUAGCGAAAGAGGGGUGAGAAUCCCCUCCACCGAAUGCCUAAGGUUUCCUGAGGAAGGCUCGUCCGCUCAGGGUUAGUCGGGACCUAAGCCGAGGCCGAAAGGCGUAGGCGAUGGAUAACAGGUUGAUAUUCCUGUACCACCUCCUCACCAUUUGAGCAAUGGGGGGACGCAGGAGGAUAGGGUAAGCGCGGUAUUGGAUAUCCGCGUCCAAGCAGUUAGGCUGGGAAAUAGGCAAAUCCGUUUCCCGUGAAGGCUGAGCUGUGAUGGCGAGCGAAUUAUAGUAGCGAAGUUCCUGAUUCCACACUGCCAAGAAAAGCCUCUAGCGAGGUGAGAGGUGCCCGUACCGCAAACCGACACAGGUAGGCGAGGAGAGAAUCCUAAGGUGAUCGAGAGAACUCUCGUUAAGGAACUCGGCAAAAUGACCCCGUAACUUCGGGAGAAGGGGUGCUCUGUUAGGGUGCAAGCCCGAGAGAGCCGCAGUGAAUAGGCCCAGGCGACUGUUUAGCAAAAACACAGGUCUCUGCGAAGCCGUAAGGCGAAGUAUAGGGGCUGACGCCUGCCCGGUGCUGGAAGGUUAAGAGGAGCGCUUAGCGUAAGCGAAGGUGCGAAUUGAAGCCCCAGUAAACGGCGGCCGUAACUAUAACGGUCCUAAGGUAGCGAAAUUCCUUGUCGGGUAAGUUCCGACCCGCACGAAAGGCGCAACGAUCUGGGCACUGUCUCAACGAGAGACUCGGUGAAAUUAUAGUACCUGUGAAGAUGCAGGUUACCCGCGACAGGACGGAAAGACCCCGUGGAGCUUUACUGCAGCCUGAUAUUGAAUGUUGGUACAGCUUGUACAGGAUAGGUAGGAGCCUUGGAAACCGGAGCGCCAGCUUCGGUGGAGGCAUCGGUGGGAUACUACCCUGGCUGUAUUGACCUUCUAACCCGCCGCCCUUAUCGGGCGGGGAGACAGUGUCAGGUGGGCAGUUUGACUGGGGCGGUCGCCUCCUAAAAGGUAACGGAGGCGCCCAAAGGUUCCCUCAGAAUGGUUGGAAAUCAUUCGCAGAGUGUAAAGGCACAAGGGAGCUUGACUGCGAGACCUACAAGUCGAGCAGGGACGAAAGUCGGGCUUAGUGAUCCGGUGGUUCCGCAUGGAAGGGCCAUCGCUCAACGGAUAAAAGCUACCCCGGGGAUAACAGGCUUAUCUCCCCCAAGAGUCCACAUCGACGGGGAGGUUUGGCACCUCGAUGUCGGCUCAUCGCAUCCUGGGGCUGUAGUCGGUCCCAAGGGUUGGGCUGUUCGCCCAUUAAAGCGGUACGCGAGCUGGGUUCAGAACGUCGUGAGACAGUUCGGUCCCUAUCCGUCGCGGGCGCAGGAAAUUUGAGAGGAGCUGUCCUUAGUACGAGAGGACCGGGAUGGACGCACCGCUGGUGUACCAGUUGUUCUGCCAAGGGCAUCGCUGGGUAGCUAUGUGCGGACGGGAUAAGUGCUGAAAGCAUCUAAGCAUGAAGCCCCCCUCAAGAUGAGAUUUCCCAUUCCGCAAGGAAGUAAGAUCCCUGAAAGAUGAUCAGGUUGAUAGGUCUGAGGUGGAAGUGUGGCGACACAUGGAGCUGACAGAUACUAAUCGAUCGAGGACUUAACC